GGGAUGUCUAUACUCUAUUGUUGCAUCAGACAUAUAAGAUUUCUCUAAUUUUGCGAAUACGAUAGAAAUAUAAACCCUGAGUCGUUCCUUUUUUAAUAGUGUUAUUUUUAAUUGUAUUAUUUUAAUUUGUUUUAUCUUUUUUGUGUUACAGAAUGUCGCGUGCAUUUUUGCUGGCAUUUGCGGACGAAGAGAAAACGAAGUUUGUCCAGAAUCCAGAAACGUCGACUGCGGGAUUGCAACAAUUCUCUGGAUUUACCGGAGAAGGAAUUCAUGGCAAAUUUCCGUGUCAACAAAUCAGGGUUUCAGCAAGUUUUGGCAGAGUUACGUCCAUUUCUGCAACGUGCUCAACGAAACACUGCUGUUGCAAUUGAGCUAAAAAUAUUGGCAGUCCUAAACUUUUAUGCAAAUGGAUCAUACCAACGAAGCUCCUCAUUCAUUUGCAACAUGUCUCAACCUACAUUUAGUAGGUGCCUACAUGAGGUAACCGAUGCUCUCAAUGUACGGGACGUGCUACUCAAGUACAUAAAGUUUCCUUCCACUCAACAAGAACGGGAAUCCACCAUGAGAGUGUUUAUGGAAAAAUUGGAUUCCCAGGAGUUAUUGGGUGCAUUGAUGGAACCCAUGUUGCUAUAAUAAGGCCCACUGACCAUGAAGAAGCUUUUUUUAAUAGAAAACAUUAUCAUUCAUUAAAUGUUUUGCUGAUUUGUGAUGCGAAUUUGCAAAUACUGCAUGUUGAUGCAUCCUAUGGAGGUGCAUCACAUGAUUCAUUUGUGUGGAACCAAUGCUGCAUUAAAUCUCACCUAGAAGGAUUGGAAAGAUCUGGGGAGCAUUGUUGGCUAUUAGGUGAUUCUGGAUAUGCACAACGCCCUUGGAUGAUGACACCUAUAUUAGAGGCUGCUGUCGGUUCACCAGAGGAACAUUACACCACACUGCAUUGCAAAGUUCGCAAUACCGUUGAGCGUUGCAUAGGUGUAUUAAAGAAUCGUUGGCGCUGUUUAUUAGCACAUAGGGUUCUUCACUAUGACCCAGUGACUGUGGCUAAAAUUGUGAAUGCAUGUGUUGUACUACACAAUAUAGCAAACAUACACAAUGUUCCUCUGCCGGAGCCUGAGAGUGAAGAGUCUGACUAUUUGGAACAGAGCCAAAUCUCCCAACAGAUUAGAGCUGCAGCAAAUCUAGAUAAUUCAAGGACCAGAGAUAUUCUAGUCCAAAGAUUAUGGAAUACCAGGACUAAUUUAUAAACUCUUCCUGGCAUUAUUAAUGGUUUAAGAAUAUUUAUCUAUUUAGUACAAAUCGCGAGGCGCCCCAGACCCAGACCCAAAACCCUGAAAAUCGGGACAUUCGGCAACACUAUGUGUAAGAACUAAAGUUUAAAUAUUUACUUAAAACCAUUUUAUUUGAUUGGGAUGACUGUCGUUAAAAUAACUCAUUUUUUUUUCUUUCUUCACAUGUGGCUUCCCCGGCGACCACGGGCAUGCGAGGUGCAAGAUUCCCAGCACUUCCCCACCAAGGCGAGCUGAACGAGCCGCAGGAUGCGGUACCUAUUUCAAAACUUGGCUUACCAAGUAACAUUAUUUGAAUUAUAUAAUUUAAUUUCCUCUUAACAUAGUUGCAUUAAAAUAGUUUUAUAUAAUUUAUUCAUUCAAUACAUUAGCUUCACUUGCAUUGUAUAACUUUCUCAGGGAUAACUAGCACUAUAUGAAAAUUAUUGUAAAAAAUUGAUUUUUUUUAAAAGAGUGUCUAUGGAGUUUCUUGCCGGUUCUUCUCCAUGAGACCCACUCCUUGGAACCGUGCAACUAGCUUGACAUUUCGCAAGAGCUUUUCUACUUGUGAACUUUUAUGCGCCUAUUUUAAAUAAAUAAAAUAUAAUUUUA